AGCAGCCGCGGUAAUUCCAGCUCCAAUAGCGUAUAUUAAAGUUGUUGCAGUUAAAAAGCUCGUAGUUGAAUUUCGGGAUCAGUUCGCUGGUCGUGCCUCUGGUAUGUACUGGUGUUACUGGUUCCUCCCUUCUGACGAACUGUCAUGUCAUUUAUUUGGUGUGGCGGGGAAUCAGGACUGUUACUUUGAAAAAUUAGAGUGUUUAAAGCAGGCUCGCGCUUGAAUACAUUAGCAUGGAAUAAUGAAAUAGGACGUUCGAUCCUAUUUUGUUGGUUUCUAGGAUUGACGUAAUGAUUAAUAGGGAUAGUUGGGGGCAUUAGUAUUCAAUUGUCAGAGGUGAAAUUCUUGGAUUUAUUGAAGACUAACUACUGCGAAAGCAUUUGCCAAGGAUGUUUUCAUUAAUCAAGAACGAAAGUUAGGGGAUCGAAGACGAUCAGAUACCGUCGUAGUCUUAACCAUAAACUAUGCCGACUAGGGAUCGGAUGAUGUAAUUUUUAAUGA
rnacentral:rRNA from 1 species